rnacentral:rRNA from 1 species
AGUGGGGAAUAUUGGACAAUGGGGGGAACCCUGAUCCAGCCAUGCCGCGUGUGUGAAGAAGGCCUUAUGGUUGUAAAGCACUUUAAGCGAGGAGGAGGCUACUUUAGUUAAUACCUAGAGAUAGUGGACGUUACUCGCAGAAUAAGCACCGGCUAACUCUGUGCCAGCAGCCGCGGUAAUACAGAGGGUGCGAGCGUUAAUCGGAUUUACUGGGCGUAAAGCGUGCGUAGGCGGCUUAUUAAGUCGGAUGUGAAAUCCCCGAGCUUAACUUGGGAAUUGCAUUCGAUACUGGUGAGCUAGAGUAUGGGAGAGGAUGGUAGAAUUCCAGGUGUAGCGGUGAAAUGCGUAGAGAUCUGGAGGAAUACCGAUGGCGAAGGCAGCCAUCUGGCCUAAUACUGACGCUGAGGUACGAAAGCAUGGGGAGCAAACAGGAUUA